rnacentral:rRNA from 1 species
UGGGGAGUAUUGGACAAUGGGGGCAACCCUGAUCCAGCAAUGCCGCGUGGGUGAUGAAGGCCUUCGGGUUGUAAAGCCCUUUCGGCGGGGACGAUGAUGACGGUACCCGCAGAAGAAGCCCCGGCUAACUUCGUGCCAGCAGCCGCGGUAAUACGAAGGGGGCUAGCGUUGUUCGGAAUGACUGGGCGUAAAGGGCGCGUAGGCGGCGAUCUUAGUCAGGCGUGAAAGCCCUGGGCUCAACCUAGGAAUUGCGUUUGAUACUGGGUUGCUAGAGUGCGGGAGAGGAUGGUGGAAUUCCCAGUGUAGAGGUGAAAUUCGUAGAUAUUGGGAAGAACACCGGUGGCGAAGGCGGCCAUCUGGACCGUUACUGACGCUGAGGCGCGAAAGCGUGGGGAGCAAACAGGAUUAGAUACCCGCGUAGUCCCUGAGCGGGCUGGCAAGGCGCAU